AAUAACUUCAAGUGAAUUUAUCAGGCAGAAUGUAAACCAAGAAGAAAAGAAGGGUUUGAAGUUCAAUUCCAGACCGAAAAUCUCCUGAAUUGGCCGCAAAGAUUCGAGAUCGGAUCAUGCAGCGACCUUAAUACACUCCUGACGAUUCUAACGAGCUCGAUCUUGCGUAGAUUGGAAACUUUCUGAAACGAAUUUGAAGGAUUCUUUUUCGAAACUUAUAGGCGGAAAGCACUCUGAAAAAUUGAAGUAUCACGAUUUAUUUUACAGGAACAUUUGACAUGCAUUGGAAAGCCCUCGCGAUUCUUAAAAAGAUUUUUUGUGCCGAGGAUGCGAAACGUUGAGCGCUCGGCCGCCAAGGAAUACAGAUGUCAUAACAAUGAUAGAAGAAUCUUUGCAUUGUUGUUCGUUCCGGAGGCUUCAAAUAUUCUGAAUUUCGCUUCAAAUUCUCUUGGCAGGAAGGUGAGGGAUAAUUCACUGAUAUCACUGUAAAUUCACUGAUUGCACAGUAGGUUGGAGACAAAUUUUAAUAUAUACUGCUUCAGUCAUCCGAUUUGGUCAUGUACACCGCUGCCAAAACCAUUUCACAAGUUAAAGAUUCAAAUUUCUUAAACGUACAUGCAAUGAUGAAGAAUUUCAUUAUUAAAGGCUGGUGAAAUAUUAAAGUACACCUUGCCUGAACAUAUUCUUUGAUCUGCGGAAAGUUUAGUUUGUGGAUGUGCCAAGAGCAUAGAGCAGGAGCAGAAACGUAAAGCAAAAUAUGAGGUCAAACGUAAAAAGCUACUUUAGUUGUAAAUCGGUUUGGGUACUGCUUUGCCUGACAACCUUACUAAUUUUUCUUCCUUUGGUUCUUCCACCUCUUCCUCCCCCUCCUCUUAUACUGCUGUUCGUUCCUGUUAUCAUUCUUUUCGUGCUGGUCAUUAUGGCGGCGAUGACUCCCAAUGCCUCCGACAUGGUUACGUGUUCCAUCUGAUAAUCCUGCCUUAGUUCAGAUUAAAUCAUUUGCCUAGCUGGUAUGUUGAAUGCAGAAUCUCGAUACCAUGCUGGCUGAUAAGGUUUGGUGGUUCUUCCGCCUAGUUUAACGAGAGGGCAUUUAUUUGCUAAAAUAUCCGUGAUAAGGUGCUUCUAUAUGUAGCUGCAUUAAGGUAAUGGAGAUUUAACCAGUUCCAAUAAAUUAUUAUUUGUUACAUUUAAAUUUACAAAAGUUGAACAAUAUCAGGGUACUUCUCUCACUUCAGAUUCUACUUUUAUCUAGUAGACUCUUAGUGAAGUGAUUUCAUUGUAAUGGUAGAAAAUGGUGGAAUGUGAAGUUCAAAUUGGACUCUUAAUUAGUGUGGUUAAGUCAUGAUGGCUAUUUUUUAGAUUUACUAUAAAUAGAAAAUUUUGUUAAGAAACUUUCUAUAAAUAGUAAUUUCUACAUGUGUUUUACAUGCAGUUGUUUGAGUCAUACUUACUAUAUUUAGUAAGUUGUCUUCAACUAAGACUAUGUGACUGGGUUGUUUUAAGCUGUUUGUUGUUUUACACUGUUUGAAGUCAUGUUUUGAUGUAUAGUAUUGAGAUUGUUGUAACUCUGUAAUUCCUGGUUUUUAACUGAUAUAUUUUUAUCCAUG